UGGGGAAUCUUGCACAAUGGGCGAAAGCCUGAUGCAGCGACGCCGCGUGCGGGAUGAAGGCCUUCGGGUUGUAAACCGCUUUCAGCAGGGACGAGGCCGCAAGGUGACGGUACCUGCAGAAGAAGCCCCGGCUAACUACGUGCCAGCAGCCGCGGUAAUACGUAGGUGGCAAGCGUUGUCCGGAAUUAUUGGGCGUAAAGCGCGCGCAGGUGGUUUAGAAAGUCUGAUGUGAAAGCCCACGGCUCAACCGUGGAGGGUCAUUGGAAACUAAUAAACUUGAGUGCAGGAGAGAAAAGUGGAAUUCCUAGUGUAGCGGUGAAAUGCGUAGAGAUUAGGAGGAACACCGGUGGCGAAAGCGGCUUUUUGGCCUGCAACUGACACUGAGGCGCGAAAGCGUGGGGAGCAAACAGG
rnacentral:rRNA from 1 species